GACAGAGGGUGCAAACGUUGUUCGGAAUUACUGGGUGUAAAGGGUUCGUAGGCGGUGCGGCAAGUUGGGAGUGAAAUCUCUGGGCUUAACCCAGAGGCUGCUUCCAAAACUGCUGUGCUUGAGUGUGGGAGAGGCGCGUGGAAUUGCAGGUGUAGCGGUGAAAUGCGUAGAUAUCUGCAGGAACACCCGUGGCGAAAGCGGCGCGCUGGACCACAACUGACGCUGAGGAACGAAAGCUAGGGGAG
rnacentral:rRNA from 1 species